UGUUGGUUGUCCACCUGACUCCUGCCUUCACCGCGGGAUCCCUUGUGCUCUUUUGGCCUCUUGCUCACUGCAUGCAUCCAGUGACAUUCCGGAUUGCUGUCGGCUGCUGAACAUGGGCCUCAUAGCCGACCUCAGCUGAUUGCAGAGCUUGCGGUAAAACAAGGACCGGCAACAUCAAGGCAUCUUGGUUCAAGUUCCGAACGCUGUUUUGUUUUGUUUUGCUUUCACCUAAGUUGUGAUGGUCGAUUUUACAUGUUUUAUUUGUUGUAUGUUUGUAUACAUUUUAACUUUCACACGGGAGAAGAACAGUAUACCGACGGACGCUCUCGUCUAGUCCUUGUAUAAACCAUGAUGUUCACCACAGCUGAUUGCAUAUACUGUGCAGUGUGUGUGUGUUCAGAGUAUUGGCUACUCUGAUUUUCCUCUCUUGUCGGACAGGAGCUGCAGGCCAACGGGGGUGGCGGGCUAUCGAGGUGGUGGUGUCCCUUCACUUUUCUUGCUGUGGUGCAUUUUGAGAAUUCGAUAUUGACAUGUUCACGUGUGGUGUGUCUGUAGACCCUCCCUCGGAUAAACUCUCCAGCCCUGGGUAAGCUCCAGCCCUGUUCCUGGCUCCUCUCAUCCCUCAGCCAGUAGUCUGAGCACAUCCUGGUGUAUGUGUGACUGUUUGUGUGUGUGUCCAGGCCUUGUAGGCCACUUGUGUCAGUGCCUUUGUGACCAAGGUUCUAACUGUCUGGAGAGAACCCACUCCCCCAUAUGUUUUUUUUAAGAUUUGUUA